rnacentral:snoRNA from 1 species
AAGACUAUACUUUCAGGGAUCGUUUCUAUAGUAUAUUUUUAUACCAUCACUGAAAGGAAAUCAAAUCUGGAAAACACCAGAGGAAGUCAGUCAGGCUAAUCUGUUUAACUAAUCUGA